AAACUUAAUACCCAAAAAUUUUUUAAAGAAGAAGAUUGUGACUUUGAGAGCAAUUUUGGAGAGUAAGAGAAGAGUAGAGAUAGAAUGGCUCCUUCCGUGAAUGACCCACCGGCAUUUAUAUAGGCAUAUUAAGAUCCCACUUCCUUGGCAGUACACAUGAAGUGCACCAUCUCGCGUGUACUAACCUUGACUUGGAACCAAUUUGUGGCCGCCGCCCCUGAUUUCACCAAUUCGCGGACGCCAGCCACUAAAUGGCUGCUCCACCAUUUCGUGUGCGCCGCACCAGAGGUGGCCCCUGCUGUCAGGCCCAUUUCGCGGGCACCGGGGCUGAGUUGACGAGGAACUCCAUUUCGCAGGCGAUAUUUUUUAAAUAUUUAUUUAUAUAAAAAAGCCUCGGUUCUGUUUGCUCUGUUCGAUUCCUUGACGAUGAUUGCUUUUAGCUAUUUCUGCUACGAUUUCCGUGAUUUUAAUCGCUAUAUUUUUAUGAUUUUUUGUAAUUUCGAUUAUUGAUUUUGGUAAUAUGAUCUGCGUUUAGAUUGUUCGAAUUUUAGGUUAAACUCUGAUGAAACAACAACGGACUUUGGAAAUAUCUCAGAUCUAAGAUCUAAAGAGAAGAUAAGCAGGAAAAGGGUCAGCCACUGCCUAAGUUUGGUGAAUGGGAUGUUAAUGAUCCAGCUUCAGCUGUUAGAUCCCGGCAAAACUGCGAGUAAAGGUAACCAAUGCUUGGCAAAGAGAGAAGCUUCCAAAAGAGCAUAGAAAGUGAGUUCAGAAGCAGCAUCAUCAGAGAGAUAAACACUCAGCUUCUCAGAAGGAUAGUCAUAAGCCAUAAGAGACAAGACUGUGUUGAUCAC